UACGGAGGGGGCGAGCGUUAUUCGGAAUUAUUGGGCGUAAAGGGCGCGUAGGCGGCUGUACAAGUCAAAGGUGAAAUCCCUCGGCUCAACUGAGGAACUGCCUUUGAAACUGUACGGCUUGAGGCCGGGAGGGGGUAGCGGAAUUCCCAGUGUAGCGGUGAAAUGCGUAGAGAUCAUGAGGAAGACCAGUGGCGAAGGCGGGUCUCUGGACAGUUCCUGACACUGAGGCACGAAGGCCAGGGGAGCAAACGGG
rnacentral:rRNA from 1 species